CAGGCCUAACACAUGCAAGUCGAACGCAUCCGCAAGGGUGAGUGGCAGACGGGUGAGUAACGCGUGGGAACAUGCCCUUUGGUACGGAACAACUUGGGGAAACUCGAGCUAAUACCGUAUACGCCCGAGAGGGGAAAGAUUUAUCGCCGAAGGAUUGGCCCGCGUCCGAUUAGCUAGUUGGUGAGGUAAUGGCUCACCAAGGCGACGAUCGGUAGCUGGUCUGAGAGGAUGGCCAGCCACAUUGGGACUGAGACACGGCCCAAACUCCUACGGGAGGCAGCAGUGGGGAAUAUUGGACAAUGGGCGCAAGCCUGAUCCAGCCAUGCCGCGUGAGUGAUGACGGCCUUAGGGUUGUAAAGCUCUUUUACCUGGGAAGAUAAUGACGGUACCAGGAGAAUAAGCCCCGGCUAACUUCGUGCCAGCAGCCGCGGUAAU
rnacentral:rRNA from 1 species